rnacentral:rRNA from 1 species
UGGGAAUAUUGCACAAUGGGGGAAACCCUGAUGCAGCAACGCCGCGUGAACGAAGAAGGCUCUUGGGUCGUAAAGUUCUGUUCUGAGGGAAGAAGAAAGUGACGGUACCUCAGGAGAAAGCCCCGGCUAACUACGUGCCAGCAGCCGCGGUAAUACGUAGGGGCAAGCGUUGUCCGGAAUUAUUGGGCGUAAAGAGUACGUAGGCGGUCUGGUAAGCGCAAGGUGAAAGGCAUAGGCUCAACCAAUGUCAGCCUUGCGAACUGUCAGACUUGAGUGCAGGAGGGGAAAUGGAAUUCCUAGUGUAGCGGUGAAAUGCGUAGAUAUUAGGAGGAACACCAGUGGCGAAGGC